rnacentral:rRNA from 1 species
UACGAAGGGGGCUAGCGUUGUUCGGAAUUACUGGGCGUAAAGCGCGCGCAGGCGGCUAUCCAAGUCAGUGGUGAAAGCCCGGAGCUCAACUCCGGAACUGCCAUUGAAACUGUCUAGCUUGAGGAUGAGAGAGGUGAGUGGAAUUCCCAGUGUAGAGGUGAAAUUCGUAGAUAUUGGGAAGAACACCGGUGGCGAAGGCGGCUCACUGGCUCAUUACUGACGCUCAGGCGCGAUAGCGUGGGGAUCAAACAGG